rnacentral:tRNA from 1 species
GGAGGGUAUAGCUCAGUGGUAGAGUGUGUGCUUAGCAUGCAUGAGGCCCUGGGUUCAAUCCCCAGUACCUCCA